GACAUAGUGCCAGAGUGGUUAAUGGGUUAGACUUGAAUCCCUCGCGGUUUAAGCGAUCUAAUGGCUUCGGCCUCGCAAGUUCGAAUCUUGUCUAUGUCG